CCCUCUAAAAGCACUCUGUGUGGGGAACAUGAGAGCCAGACCAAAGCUCAGAGGAACCCACCUGGACCUCCACCCAGCUCUGUGUCCUUACAGAGUGACGCAUCUAAAGAGUUCCCCCUUAAUUUUAAAGUCCAGCCUGUGUCUGCUGCAGAGAGGAUCAAAGGGAGACCUGCUGGACCUGAACCUGAACCCAGCUGUAUGUCCUUACAGAGUAACGCAUCUAAUGGUCACAUCAUGUAUUCGAAAUCCCAGCCUGUGUCUGCUGCAGA